rnacentral:rRNA from 1 species
CCCUACGGGGCGCACCAGGCAGUUAUAAAAAGUGCUGUUUCGUCUGCCAAGGAAAAUAACACAAAAUCAGCUAUAAUAACCUUCCAAGACCAUCCUUGCUGUUUUUUUUAUAAUGUUCAACCUAAAUACAUAAUUAAAAGGCAUGAUAAAAUUAAUAUUUUUGAAGAAUUAGGUGUUGAUUAUGUAUAUUUCCUUAAAUUCGAUGAAUAUCUUGCUAUGAUGGAUGCAUCUGAAUAUCUUCGAGAUGUUAUUGUAAAAAACUUUGCUCCGAUAGCUAUUUCAACAGGGUUUAAUCAUAACUUUGGGGCUAAAAAAUCCGGUGAUGUUGAUUUUUUAUGUACUAUGCAAAACGAAUUUUGUUAUAAAUAUUUUGAAGUCGAGCCUGUACUUUUUGAGGGGGGC